GCUGAGGUAGCGAAGCCCGGUCAAACGCGCCAGACUUGAGAUCUGGUGGGCCGCAAGGCCCUCGGGAGUUCGAAUCUCCCCCUCAGCG
rfam:Euryarchaeota archaeon RBG_16_67_27 RBG_16_scaffold_43547, whole genome shotgun sequence.